rnacentral:rRNA from 1 species
UGGGGAAUCUUGGACAAUGGGCGCAAGCCUGAUCCAGCCAUGCCGCGUGAGUGAAGAAGGCCUUCGGGUUGUAAAGCUCUUUUACCAGGGACGAUAAUGACGGUACCUGGAGAAUAAGCCCCGGCAAACUUCGUGCCAGCAGCCGCGGUAAUACGAAGGGGGCUAGCGUUGUUCGGAAUUACUGGGCGUAAAGCGCACGUAGGCGGAUUGUUAAGUCAGAGGUGAAAUCCCGGAGCUCAACUUCGGAACUGCCUUUGAAACUAGGUCGCUAGAAUCACGGAGAGGUGAGUGGAAUUCCGAGUGUAGAGGUGAAAUUCGUAGAUAUUCGGAAGAACACCAGUGGCGAAGGCGGCUCACUGGACGUGUAUUGACGCUGAGGUACGAAAGCGUGGGGAGCAAACAGGAUUAGAUACCCUUGUAGUCCCUGAGCGGGCUGGCAAGGCGCAU